rnacentral:rRNA from 1 species
UGGGGUAUAUUGCACAAUGGGCGAAAGCCUGAUGCAGCGACGCCGCGUGGGGGAUGAAGGCUUUCGGGUUGUAAACCUCUUUCGCUAUCGAACAAGGCCCGCUUAGGGUGGGUUGAGGGUAGGUGGAGAAGAAGCGCCGGCUAACUACGUGCCAGCAGCCGCGGUAAUACGUAGGGCGCGAGCGUUGUCCGGAAUUAUUGGGCGUAAAGGGCUUGUAGGCGGCUUGUUGCGCCUGCUGUGAAAACGCGGGGCUUAACUUCGCGCGUGCAGUGGGUACGGGCAGGCUUGAGUGUGGUAGGGGUGACUGGAAUUCCAGGUGUAGCAGUGGAAUGCGCAGAUAUCUGGAGGAACACCGAUGGCGAAGGCAGGUCACUGGGCCAUUACUGACGCUGAGGAGCGAAAGCAUGAGUAGCGAACAGG